CAGGAAGAGGCAGCGUCUGGAGUCGGCAGAGGGUGUGCUGAGGCCCGGGGCCAUCCGGGAUGGUCCUGCCACGGGGCUGGGGAGCUUCUUGCGAAGAACUGCCCGCAGCAUCCUGGACCUUCCGUGGCAGAUUGUGCAGAUCAGCGAGACCAGCCAGGCCGGCCUGUUCAGGCUGUGGGCGCUCGUUGGCAGUGACUUGCACUGCAUCAGGCUGAGCAUCCCCCGUGUGUUCUACGUGAACCAGCGAGUCGCUAAAGCGGAGGAGGGCGCUUCGUAUCGCAAGAGGCUGCAGGUUGCUUUUCAAAAUUGCGUCCAGAGGCCAGGCAUAG
rnacentral:lncRNA from 1 species